GGCAAAGCAGGGACUGUGCUGUCACAUGCUACUGAAGCAAACAAAAAUCCUAUUGUAUGGGGUGAGGGGUGGGGAAAAAGGAAAAUGAACAAGGUGAGGCAGUGAGGAAGGAAGUACACGUUAGCAUAACCCGCCGUUUAUGGGUUUAAUGUGUGCCCAUGGGUGUGUGCAGGUGCACUCAGGGCACUGUGUUGUGGUCUGCUGCCUGGAGGCAGACCAGGGCUUGUGCGUGGCUUUUGGCUAGAGUUACUCACAGGUGACCCACGGAGUCAGUGCAGGGGCUAUGAGAAUUUGCAUUUGCAUCAAAACGGUAAAUCAAAGUGAAAGAAGUCAUUAAGUCAGGUAACAAAUACUUAUCAAGUGCCUGUUGUUUGCUGGACAUAGCAGGAGUGCUCCCAGGCAAGGAAUAGACACCUAUUUUUCAGACUUCUGAUCUCUUUGGGGAUUGCCAAAAUGACCUCAAGUAGUGAAGAUAUAGUGGAAUAAUCUGUAUUUCUGCUGACCUUGAUGACAUUUGGAUCUCAUUUGAGGUACUAAGAAGAAUAAGCAAUUGGUUUGAAAAAAGCCCUUUUAAGAGCAAAAUGAAUUCUGCUAAAGUUGAAGCAGGAACAAAUAUCAAAUUUAUGGUGAAGCUCAGGUGGAAGAAUGAUGAAAUCACUGAUGCUUUACAAGAAGUUUAUGGGGACAAUGCCUUAAAGAAAUCAGCAGUUUACAAAUGGAUAACUUGUUUUAGGAAAGGAUGAGAUGCUGAAGAUAAAUCCUGCAGUGGCAAAUUCAUCCACAUCAAUUUGUAAGGAAAAAAUUUAUCUUCUUCAUGCCCUAACUAACCAACAUUUAAUAGCUUGGACAAUAGCCAACACCACAGACAUCUCAAUUAGUUCAGCUUACACAAUCCUGACUAAAAAAUCAAAGUUGAGCACCUUCCACUCAAUUGGUGCCAAAACCAUGGCACCCAGAUCAACUGCAGACAAGAGUGGAGCUUUCCAUGAAUAUUUUAAACAACUGGGAUCAAGAUCCUGUAGCAUUUCUCAAAGAAUAGUAACAAGAGAUGAAACAUAGCUUUACCAGUAUGAUCCUGAAGACAAAGCACAAUCAAAGCAAUGGCUACCAAGAGGUGGAGUGGUCCAGUCAAAGCAAAAGCAGACCAGUCAAAAGCAAGGGUCAUGGCAACAGUGUUUUGGGAUGCCCAAGGCACUUUGUUUGCUGACUUGCUGGAAGGCCAAAAAACGAUCACAUCUGCUUAUUAUGAGAGUGUUCUGAGAAAGUUAGCCAGAGCUUUAGUAGAAAAAUGCCUGGGAAAGCUCCACCAAAGAGUCCUUCUCUACCAUGACAAUGCUCCUGCUCAUUCAUCUCAUCAAACAAGAGGAAAUUUGUGACAGUUUCAAUGGGAAAUCAAUAGGCAUCCACCUUAUAGUCCUGAUUUGGCUCCUUUUAACCUGUUUUUGUUUCUUAGUCUUUUUUUAAAAAAAUCUUUAAAGGGCAAUCAUUUUUCUUCGGUAAAUAAUGUAGAGUGCAUUGACAUGGUUAAAAAGACUGCAUUGACAUGGUUAAAUUACCAGAACUCUCAGUACAUUAGGUAUGGAUUAAAUGGCUGAUAUAUCACUUUCUCAUCAAUUUCAAGACAUUUUUGUUUUCUCAUAUGAUGCAUCAUGAAGCAAAGAUGACUGAAGUGCCUCUUUGUACCUGAUAGUUUCCCAAUGUGUUUUUAUAAUUUUAGGUUCUAAGCUUAUUUUUAAUAUGUAUGUGUUUCUCCUGUAGAAAAUCUUGGUUGAUAAUUUGUCCUUUUGCUACUUCUAGGCUUCCCAGGAUAUCCCAAUUUCAGAGCACUUUUUAUGUUAAUUUCUCACUUAGAGGUUGGCAAACCUCACAUAUAUUACCUAUUUCAAUUAUAAGCCCCCAAAUUUAUGUGAGGGGAGGCAUGGUUACAAACUCAUAGGGAAGACAUUUUCCUCUUUACUUAGAGCCCAAACCAAGACAUUCAUUUAUGCAAUAAAAGCUUACUAAGUUACUGUGCUAAAGACUAGGGAUGUCAUAAGAAACAGGCAAAAUCUCUGCUCUCAUGAAAGUUAUAUUUUGGAAGAAUAUCCUUGUGCUGAUGGGGAAAUUUUCUAGUCCUCCAGCAGGAAUCUCAGUUUUCACUCCCUGACUCCAUUAGGCUCAUGGCCUCAUUUCAUAUUCUUUUAUGGUUAUUAUAACCCAUUUCCAUGAUUACCAAGGCUGGCAAUAUUCUUUCCUCCACCAUCUUCAAAUUGACCUUACCAUUUUAUUUUGCCUUCUUCAUUUUUGGCAAGUAGGAGCUUGGCUUACUUUAUUGUAAGCUCAGCUAUACAUUUAAAAGUAAAUAUACAAUUUCUUUUCAUCAUUUCUAUGGGUUUGGUGGCACAGGGAGUUACAAUAUCUGGUCUACCACAUUGCAGGAACUAGAUUUCCCCAGAUGACUAACUCUUCAGUCAAAAGUCUUCUUUUUUCCCCGCCUCAAACACUUUAGAUUUACUUAUGCCACUGUGGAAAAUUAUUUCCACUGUCCUUGAAGUCCCCUUUCCCAGGUUUUCCCUCUGCUGUUUUUUUCUAAUCUUUCACGGUGUGCUCAAAUGUUACCUCUUCAAAGAGGCUUUCCUGGAAAACCUCACCUUGAGCACUCUAUCUCACUCACUAAUUUCUUUGUUUUUUUUCUUAUUUAUAACUUUAUCAGUAUUUUGAAUUAUUAUACUUAUUUAUUUACUUACUUGUUGAUCAUGCCUCUAUUCCACUGUAAUGCAACUUCCAUGACAGCAUGAUCUUUUUUGUCUUGUUUAUCAUUAUUUCUCUAGGGUCAGUCUACCACUACUUUUAUUGUCUUGGCAGAAUUAGGUGUCUCCUGAGGUGAUGCAAAAAGAAAAGACAUUAUCAGUGAUGGCUUCUAACCAAGGAUUCAAGGCUUCUGAUUUAAAUUCUAUAUUAUAGCCAUCACAGGGGUGAAGGCACAAAGUAAAUGACACCAGAAAGAGGAUUUAACACAAAAUCCGAAACUUGGGAUAUUUCACAGGAUAAAUUGCUGAGCCUCUUCAGCAAAUAAGUGUCUAGCAAAUCCUGUAUUAGUAUCUUUAGUGAUCAUACCUGAAUUUGCUCUCCAAAGGCACCAUAUCUAUACAUUCUUAGUAUCCUAUCUGUUUUAAGCAGAUAAUAAAGUCAGCUAAACCUUCCCUUACUGUUACACACUGAGUAAGUGCAAUUUGGAUGGUUUGAAGAUAUUAAAUCUUUCAGCCCAGAUUUAAGAAUACCUGUUUGAGAGAAAUUACAAGAGCUUUUAAUGCUUGCUACAGAAAGGUAAUGUCUUAUCUUUUCUGUUUAGUAUUUUGCAUUCCAAAAAAUGAGAAAAGUUAUUCCAUAAGUUGAUAAUUGAAUAAAAGAAUCAAAACAUG
rnacentral:lncRNA from 1 species